UUUCAAUAGCUUGCUAAUGAAAUUCUUAGUGGCGGACGGGUUAGUAACACGUGAGAAUCCUACCCUUGAGUGGGGAAUAGCCUUUCGAAAGGAAGAUUAAUGCCCCAUAGUCUCUACGGAGUAAAGAUGCCUUCGGGUGUCGCUUAAGGAUGGGCUCGCGGCCUAUCAGCUAGUUGGUGAGGUAAGAGCUCACCAAGGCAACGACGGGUAGCUGGUCUGAGAGGACGAUCAGCAACACUGGAACUGAGACACGGUCCAGACACCUACGGGUGGCAGCAGUCGAGAAUCAUUCACAAUGGACGAAAGUCUGAUGGUGCAACGCCGCGUGGAGGAUGACGGCCCUAGGGUUGUAAACUCCUGUCAUCAGGGAGUAAGACUUAUUCGUUAAUAGCGUGUAAGUUUGAUAGUACCUGAAGAGGAAGGGACGGCUAACUUCGUGCCAGCAGCCGCGGUAAUACGAAGGUCCCAAGCGUUGUUCGGAAUAACUGGGCGUAAAGCGUGUGUAGGCCGCGCGGAAAGUCGGAUGUGAAAGCCCAAGGCUCAACCUUGGAACUGCAUCCGAUACUCCCGUGCU
rnacentral:rRNA from 1 species